rnacentral:lncRNA from 12 species
UAACUAGUUGCUAUUCUAAAAUUUCCUUCUCCUGCAAGUAUUUGGUAUUUACAAGCAUAUUUUAGAGCUGGGAAUGUAAAAAGGAAAACCAGUGGUGAUAUUCGCUGGAUCCUACUCAGUAAAAUAGCACAUACGUCAUGUUCCAGGAAAGCCCUGUAGGCAGAAAUAAGACCUUGCUACCUCCUCUAGCUUUCUAGGAAAUUGUCAAAUAACUAUGAAUCGAUCUAUUGAUAAUUGGUGAUGCAUUAUCAUGGGUAUGAUAUUUUUAAGGACAAUCCCUCUACCUUCAUGAACUUCUGACAUAGUUGGGGAAGGAAGUGCUCACCAUAUGAAAUUUUAUAUAAAAUAUAAUCUGGAGAUAGUUAUGUCGAUGGGACACAAGAUAGCCUGGGAUUAAUCCUCAAACAAAGCCCUUGGAUUAGCAUUAUUGUGUUUUCUGAAGAGGCAGAAAGUGGGCCCGGGUGUUCACAUAGUCUGAGAAGAAGGUGAAUGCUUGAGUGGGAGGAAGGGCUGGCUACACCAAGCGAAGAGAUGGAGGGAGCCAGGGCAUAGGUAGAGAGGACCAGGCCUGGACAGUCAGCAGGCCCUGUGGCAGGGGUGCGGGAGCUGCUGCAGACCCCACUGGUGAAGCAGCAAGAAGCCAGAUGCUGAAGACCUUGCACGACAUGCUGUGCGUGUUCCCAUCAAAUUCUGUGGCUGGGGACCACUGAUGGUGUUCAGAUGGACAAAUGAAAAUGAUUUUGAAUGUGUGAGAAUGUUGAGACAACAUCACUGUGGUUUGCUAUGUAAGGAAAUAAUCAAGAAGUUGGCCAAACGACCGUUGAAUCAGGAAUUUCAAGAGGAAAAUGGUGCCAUGUCCUUGCAGCCUGACGGUGAUCUGGAGUCGAGGAUUGCUGGGGG